UGGGGAAUUUUGGACAAUGGGCGAAAGCCUGAUCCAGCAAUGCCGCGUGUGUGAAGAAGGCCUUCGGGUUGUAAAGCACUUUUGUCCGGAAAGAAAUCCUUGGCUCUAAUACAGUCGGGGGAUGACGGUACCGGAAGAAUAAGCACCGGCUAACUACGUGCCAGCAGCCGCGGUAAUACGUAGGGUGCAAGCGUUAAUCGGAAUUACUGGGCGUAAAGCGUGCGCAGGCGGUUUGCUAAGACCGAUGUGAAAUCCCCGGGCUCAACCUGGGAACUGCAUUGGUGACUGGCAGGCUAGAGUAUGGCAGAGGGGGGUAGAAUUCCACGUGUAGCAGUGAAAUGCGUAGAGAUGUGGAGGAAUACCGAUGGCGAAGGCAGCCCCCUGGGCCAAUACUGACGCUCAUGCACGAAAGCGUGGGGGAGCAAAACAGGAUUAGAUACCCUGGUAGUCCACGCCCUAAAACGAUGUCAACUAGUUGUUGGGGAUUCAUUUCCUUAGUAACGUAGCUAACGCGUGAAGUUGACCGCCUGGGGAGUACGGUCGCAAGAUUAAAACUCAAAUGAAUUGACGGGGUCAUAGCU
rnacentral:rRNA from 1 species